UCCCAGUUAUUUUUUAUUUUUUCCAAAUACAAUUAUAAAAUAGUUUUAUAUUAGGUUAUACUUAGGUUAUAUUGGUUCACUUUUCCAGAGGAAAUAUACUUCCAGUAACGGUAUUCUACUGAGGGUCCCUAGAGUGUCUUAUACCAUUCAACUUUUUAGAAUUUUCAAGCCUGAUAUCCUCAAGAAUAGACUGCAAUGUGGUGAUUGCUUUUCAAAGCAGAUAAAAGUGAUCAAUGAAUUCUGAGAAAAAAGAAAAGAGUGAUCCAGAAUGAUAUUGAUUUUUAAAAAUGGAAUGAUAUUUCUAAACCUAGAGAAAGAAAUGAGUAAACAAAUGGCACAGGAUCAGAUUCGAAAAGUAAGGAGUUAUAGUUCCUCCAUUGUACCUUUUGAACUUUGAUAUUUAUCUUGAACACCUUCUAACUAUGGUACAAAAAUACAGCAUAUGUGACUAUUGCGAGAAUCUCCAUUAUGUCCUCAAAUGACACUGCCAUAAUGAUUUUUCCUUGCUUGCUGUGAUUCAGUUGUAUCUACAAGCAUGGAAUUCAAGAACUUAGCAUAAUGAAACUAGCUAAAAACAUAGUCUGAACUUCAUUCAAUGUAUGGAUGAAAUACAGUAUUUGCCAUGGAGACAGUUGGCAUCAGUAUCUCCAAGGAUCCCCUCCUCUCUACCUAUUUCUAUAAUUGGGUAAGCAACUCAUUUGAGAUUCUGCAAUAAUCCAAAGACCUCAAAUCACUUUACCACUGCUGAAAAGGAAUUUUAAGCUUUAACACCCACUGAAAUGAGAAUCAUAGGAAAAAAUGCAUUAAUCAUUUCAACAUAUUUUUCUAAUCCUUCACCUCCUAGAAAUAGCCUCCCAAAUACUGAGCUAGCUCUGGAAAUGCAUGUCAAUCUCAGCAUCAAUGUAGAUAUCCCUGGAGAGUAUGCUACCAAGCCGUUUCUGGAGUGGAAAUUUCUAUCAACUGAUUGGGGGCCACAUCCUUCGGUGUCACAUUUCCUGAGGACCCUCCCUUCCAGAAAAGUCACCAAUCAUCAACUAGCAACCUGAGAUGUGGACAGAAAGCAUCCUCCCAGGUGCAAUUGAACUGUCUAGUUGGCCUGGAAGUAUGGGAGCCAUAGGAACUGCAAUUUAAAGUUCCAUUUUGACUGGUAAAUUAAAUAAAUAAAAAUCAAAUAA
rnacentral:lncRNA from 1 species